UACAGAGGGUGCAAGCGUUAAUCGGAAUUACUGGGCGUAAAGCGAGCGUAGUCGGUUAUUUAAGUCGGGUGUGAAAGCCCCGGGCUCAACCUGGGAAUUGCAGUGGAUACUGGGGAGCUAGAGUGCGGUAGAGGGUAGUGGAAUUCCCGGUGUAGCGGUGAAAUGCGUAGAGAUCGGGAGGAACACCAGUGGCGAAGGCGGCUACCUGGACCAGCACUGACACUGAGGCACGAAAGCGUGGGGAGCAAACAGG
rnacentral:rRNA from 1 species